UCGAGGGGCAGCGGGGUUGUAGCAAUACAACUCCUGGAGACCGGCGCACGGGUGAGUAACACGUAUGUAACCUGCCCUCUGCAGGGGGAUAAGCGGAAGAAAUUCCGUCUAAUACCGCAUAAUACAAUUUGGAGACAUCUCCGGGUUGUCAAAGGAGUGAUCCGGCAGAGGAUGGACAUGCGGCGCAUUAGCUAGUCGGCGGGGUAACGGCCCACCGAGGCUACGAUGCGUAGGGGUUCUGAGAGGAAGGUCCCCCACACUGGUACUGAGACACGGACCAGACUCCUACGGGAGGCAGCAGUGAGGAAUAUUGGUCAAUGGGCGGAAGCCUGAACCAGCCAAGUCGCGUGAGGGAAGACGGUCCUAUGGAUUGUAAACCUCUUUUGCAGGGGAGCAAGGCGCGGUACGUGUACCGCGAAGGAGAGUACCCUGAGAAAAAGCAUCGGCUAACUCCGUGCCAGCAGCCGCGGUAAUACGGAGGAUGCGAGCGUUAUCCGGAUUUAUUGGGUUUAAAGGGUGCGCAGGCGGACUGUUAAGUCAGCGGUAAAAUGUCGGUGCUCAACACCGGCCGGCCGUUGAAACUGGCAGCCUUGAGUGAGCGAGAAGUAUGCGGAAUGCGUGGUGUAGCGGUGAAAUGCAUAGAUA
rnacentral:rRNA from 1 species